GACGAACCUUGCUAACGUUAUUCGGAAUUACUGGGCUUAAAGGGUGCGUAGGCGGUGCAGCAAGUCGGGUGUGAAAUCCUCAGCUCAACUGAGGAACUGCGCCGAAACUGCUGUGCUAGAGGAAGAUAGGGGUACGCGGAACUUAGGGUGGAGCGGUGAAAUGCGUUGAUAUCCUAAGGAACACCGGUGGCGUAAGCGGCGUACGUGGGUCUUUCUGACGCUGAGGCACGAAGCUAGGGAGCGAACGGG
rnacentral:rRNA from 1 species